rnacentral:rRNA from 1 species
AGUGAACGCUGGCGGUAGGCCUAACACAUGCAAGUCGAACGGCAGCACAGUAAGAGCUUGCUCUUACGGGUGGCGAGUGGCGGACGGGUGAGGAAUACAUCGGAAUCUACUUUUUCGUGGGGGAUAACGUAGGGAAACUUACGCUAAUACCUCAUACGACCUACGGGUGAAAGCAGGGGAUCUUCGGACCUUGCGCGACUGAAUGAGCCGAUGUCGGAUUAGCUAGUUGGCGGGGUAAAGGCCCACCAAGGCGACGAUCCGUAGCUGGUCUGAGAGGAUGAUCAGCCACACUGGAACUGAGACACGGUCCAGACUCCUACGGGAGGCAGCAGUGGGGAAUAUUGGACAAUGGGCGAAAGCCUGAUCCAGCCAUACCGCGUGAGUGAAGAAGGCCUUCGGGUUGUAAAGCCCUUUUGUUGGGAAAGAAAAGCAGCAGAUUAAUACCCCGCUGUUCUGACGGUACCCAAAGAAUAAGCACCGGCUAACUUCGUG